rnacentral:rRNA from 1 species
ACGGAGGGUGCAAGCGUUGUCCGGAAUCAUUGGGCGUAAAGAGUUCGUAGGUGGUAUGUUAAGUCUGGUGUUAAAUCCCGAAGCUCAACUUCGGUUCUGCACCGGAAACUGGCAAACUUGAAUGUGGUAGAGGUAAAGGGAAUUCCCGGUGUAGCGGUGAAAUGCGUAGAUAUCAGGAGGAACACCGGUGGCGAAGGCGGUUUACUGGGCCAUUACUGACACUGAGGAACGAAAGCCGGGGGAGCAAAUGG